GACGGAGGAUGCAAGUGUUAUCCGGAAUCACUGGGCGUAAAGCGUCUGUAGGUGGUCAAAUAAGUCAACUGUUAAAUCUUGAGGCUCGACCUCAAAAUCGCAGUCGAAACUAUUAGACUAGAGUAUAGUAGGGGUAAAGGGAAUUUCCAGUGGAGCGGUGAAAUGCGUAGAGAUUGGAAAGAACACCAAUGGCGAAAGCACUUUACUGGGCUAUCACUGACACUGAGAGACGAAAGCUAGGGUAGCAAAUGGG
rnacentral:rRNA from 1 species